AGAGAUCCAACAUUCAAUCGCUUCUAUUAUCGCCAGACUUAUUCAAGCUCUUUUGGCAGGGCAGUCCUGUCAUAGGUGGUUGACAGAUUGGACAUUUCUGACAUUACAGAACGUCACAUUUUCGUUAUUGUUGCAAUAAACAUUUCAUUCCAUCUUUUGUGGGUAUUUAAUUGUGACUGAUAAAAGUUCAAAUGGUCGCUGUCCUAGUUUAGGUGCAUGGCCUUAUGGCAUGCUGUUUCCAUAUAUGGACUAGUGAUCCUUAUUUAGCAGCUAGUUUCGCGCUCUUUCUCUUUUAUUAAAUAAAUAAGCUUUUAAUGAC